AAGAGUACGUGAAACCGUUCAGGGGUAAACCUGUGAAACCUAAAAGAUCGAAUGAGGAGAUUCAUCGUCAGUGUAUUCAGUAUUAAUGCAGGCUAUGAUGUGAUAAUAGAAUCCUUGUGGUCACUAAAUUAUACUUGCUUGUAUUAUUUUUGCUGGGUAUAUCGGCGUGCACUUCUCCUCUAGUAGAACGUCGCAACCCGUUAGAUGUUUAUCUAUGGCCUAAAUGGUAGCCUUUGAUAUUUUUAAUAUUGAAGACCUUUGGUGUCCUGAUAAACUGUCUGACGGUACACAUAAGAUAUCGAGCCGCAAUUAUUUGCGUUAGACUUGCCGCAAGUUAGGCUUUAUUCUAGUAGCGCGGAUCUAAUGCCGUCGCUGGUCAAAGUCUACUGUUAGCUGUGUAAUGUCUUUAACUGGCUUAUUUAUCGGUUAGCGAUGCUACUGCUUUGGGUAC
rnacentral:rRNA from 1 species